GCCAGCAUGGUGUAGUGGUUUGAGCAUUGGACUAUCACUCCAGAGAACAGUGUUUGAAUCCCAGCUUUGCCU